UACGUAGGGUGCAAGCGUUAAUCGGAAUGACUGGGCGUAAAGGGUGUGUAGGCGGUCUGCAAAGUCUGAUGUGAAAUCCCCGGGCUCAACCUGGGAACUGCGUUGGAUACUGGUAGGCUAGAGUACGUAAGAGGGGGGUGGAAUUCCACGUGUAGCAGUGAAAUGCGUAGAGAUGUGGAGGAACACCGAUGGCGAAGGCAGCCCCCUGGGACGAUACUGACGCUGAGGCACGAAAGCGUGGGGAGCAAACAGG
rnacentral:rRNA from 1 species